rnacentral:lncRNA from 1 species
ACGUCCUAAAGUGAAUCGACCGCUACCCUCCAGACUCUCGCUUAAACUCGCGGUAGGGCACAGUUCUCCGAACCAAAAGCUGAAAGCAGUUUGGCUUAUAGAUCUAAAAAAUGGUAUGUAAUGUAUUAUGUGUAAUGUAAUUAUAUGUAAAUAUAAAGUGAGAGUGAAGACCUUGACAGGGGAAGAUUGUUGUACACAAUGCAUGCCUGCUUGCUUUUGUAAAUAUUAGAACUUGGCUCUUAGCUUCCUGGUAGCCAAAGAGAAAAGGGAGACAGGAGCUAUUCCUUCUUUUAAGUCAGGAGAAGCAAAGCUUUGGUUAAUCACGGAAUUAUAAAGGUUUUUUUCUAUCACUGUAAAUUCUUUAAAUUAAGAAGGUUUUUAAAGCAGCACAUAUUAUUGGGGGAAGGAUCAAUUAUAUUCCUGUUGCAAAUGUUGUGACAGAUAUUACGUAGCUUCAUAAUAAUAGCUAAUACUUAUUAAGUAUUUUGUUACUAAGCACUUCACAUAUAUUUCUAAUUUAAUCCUUACAAGGUUUUUAUUAAAGAGGGAUUGUGAUUAGCCUCGUUUUACUUAAUGAGGAAACUAAGGCUCAGAGAGGUUUAGUGGGGAGCCAGGAUUAAACCCAAACAGUCUGAUUCCAGACCUCAAUCUUAAACCACUAUUCUAUGUUGUUUAACACACUUUGAUAGUUAAAAGGCACGUAAAGUUGAUUAAAUUAAAAUUUUUGUCGUAGAUAGUAAAAGUCCAUUCUUCAUUCAUAAUGUUCAAUGUCUUCAGUCCUUUAUACCAUUCCACUGAAAUUACAUUCUCAUCCCCCCAAUAACUUCUUAAUGUCCAAUGUCAUUUUUCUCAAUGUCUUCAUCCCAUUUUAUGACAAUUUCUUACUAGAACAAUAUAAAAUAUGUAUUAUAUUCUCAAAUAUAGUCAGCGUUAACAAUAUAAAAUAUGUAUUAUAUUCUCAAAUAUAGUCAGCUUUAAUAAUGGUUUUAAAUAAAAGCAAAUUUGUUUAAAUCACUUCAUGAUUCCACAUAUUCACAAAGAGCUGAGAAAAGAGGGGGAAGCAUUCAUAUAACCCCUAGGGUUAGUCUCUCAUGGGUAAACCAGGUGUGAUUGGAGAUAUGUAAACAAGUUCUUCCACUCUUCUAUUGCCAUCUCCAAAAUCAUAAUGUAUCUUAAAUUUUACUAGUAAUGAGAAUUCCAUUGGUUUUAAACACUCACUGUGCUGGGUCUCUUUAAAAAUUAUCAUUCGCUGUCCUCCAUGUUAGGUGUAGGCAUAGAGGCAGGAGAUGGAGGAAGGAAAACCUGGUGAUAGAAAACUUGAAGUACUUCACAGUGUUAAAUGUGACUUGAUACCCAUGAUACGUUCAUAUUUUAUUUAUACUUUGCUGUGGAGAUGAUGUUACACAACUGUCUUAAAAUAUAUGAGCCUAACUUAAAUUGGUGGGUUUCUGAGUUAGUCUCUACAGGUGGGAAUGGCUAUUACACAUCAAAAUCACACACAUACACACACAUACAUACAUACAUAUACAUACACACACAAAUAUACACACAAACAUAUAGUUGUUUGGUUCUACAAAAUAAAUGUAAACGCAGGCUGAAAACAACCAAUAGGAAAAAGAAUCUCAAUUCUGAAAGUGGAAAAGUAAUUUUUUAAAUUUCAUUUUACAUUUUACUUUUCACAAUAAACUUAUGCAUUUUCUCAGGAGUUAUUGCUCAGAAUGACUUAACUUUAUUUCUCAUGAAACAUCCACCUUUACUUAUCUCAGUAUUAUACAAUAGACAGGUCUUUUAAUGUGCUUUUAUUUUUUUGUUUAUUUAUUUUUUAGAGAGAGAAAGAGUGUGAGCAGGGGAGGGGCGCAGAGAGGGAAACACAGAAUCUGAAGCAAGCCUUGGGCUCUGAACCGCCAGCACAGAGCCCGACAUGGGGCUUGAACUCACGAACUGUGAGAUCACAAACUGUGAGAUCAGCUGAAGUCGACGCUUAACCGACUGAGCCACCCAGGCGCCCCUAAUGUGCUUCCAUUUUUACAAAGAUGCCACCUAGUGGCUGUAUGAAAUCAAACAUUUCAAAGUAUUUCUCAUUGUUUACUCCAGGCCAAAAUGUAUUUUGAUAUAAAUGAAUGUAUUAGAAAAAAUAUUAGAAGAAUUUAGAAAACCAAGGACCUGAAAAUUAUGCUUUUAGAAAUUAUUUAUAUGGAUUAAGUUUGGACCAUACCUCUGUGAGCUUGUUAAGAAACUAUAUAUAUGCUUUUUUUUUCUGAAAACUUUUUUCUGAAACUUUAAGGGACAAAUGUGUUUGAAUUCAGAUUUUGCAGAUUUUUGAAAGGAAAUGUGAGCAUAUGCUGUAUAUUCUGUAACACUGUCAGUAGGUCUGGGGAAGUAGUCCAGAAUCAAAUACAUUAAAUCUGUGACAAAAAUAUAUUCAUAUUCACAUUAAAGUGAGAUGAAGACCAAUUCAGGUCAGCUUUUGCUUCCAAAUGAAUUAUGAAAGAAGCUUCCAUUCAAACAUUCUUGAAGUCUGGUACUUAGGUAGGGAUUGUAGAUCUGUUUUACCCUGAGGAAAGGAAUCAGCCGUCCAGUGAUCGAAAAAAGAAAGUAAAAUGAAAUAUUGUUAUAAAACAGUAAUGUUUAUCUUUAGAAAUGCAUAAAAUGUUCAUCCGGAAGCAAGCAAACAAACAAACAUGAUAUUCGAAGAUCAUGAGAAAUCUCCUGGCCUAUGGCUAUGGAAGCAUGUGUUGAAAUGGCAUCAUCCUCAGCUCAGAGCCCUUGAGUGACUCUUUCGAGAACUGUCAGCCCUCAUUAGACCUGUAAUAUGAGCAAGAAACAAACUUCUGUUGUUAAGACAUUAGGAUUUAGGGGUAGCCUAUUAUAAUUCACUAUUUUUCUCAAUCGUCAGCUACUUUCCUUCACUAACUAGAGUUUUGAUUUAUUCCCUCUAAAUAAACACUUUUAAAUAAACUUCUCCGGUCCCCAUCAAUAACUCAAAUCACACAUCACAUUCCCACUUUGAUUUUUUGUGAAUUCUAUUAAAAAUAAACCUCUUGAUCCUCGUCUAAACCAAACGUCUACCUUUUCAUUUACUUUGUUCUCAAAAAGGUAGUAUUACUAUUAUUGUAGCAUGGGCAGCAAUCCCGUUAGUUAAGUACUGAGUUUUAAAGAAUAUUCUACCCUCAGUUGGAAAAUACUCAUGGUAUGUUCAGCAGUUUGCUACUUUACCCUAGACCCCACAACACACUUGCAUAGGAGUGUUUAUGUAACCACGGAGGCUGGGAGGGAAAGGCAAAGGUUGGUAUUAGCCUGUAUGUGGGAAUUUUCUUAUACAGAACAUUGUUGAUUUCCUCCCUUUGACAGAGAAAACAUGAGGGUACCAUCUGUCUUCCAGUGACUGGGGCCUGAUGUAAAGAACUGGGAAGUGGCAUACAAACUCUGAUGAUGUCUUCUCUGCAGUUGGAGCACGUGUGAAGCAAGGUCCUGCAAGACCCGAAGACCUUAGCUUCUGAGAACAGUGGAACUGAUCUCUUAGACUUCAUGGGAGAGUUCCUGGAUAAACAGAACACAGACUAUCUGGAAUACCAUCCUGGUGGGCAGAAGGAAUUAGAAGAGCUGGCCCAAAGGGUAUCUGUUUGAAAAGCCUGCUAAAGCAUCAAGUAGAGACAAGUUCCGAGGGCAACACAGCAAACCUUCCCAUUGUAGUAGGUCCCAA